rnacentral:ncRNA from 2 species
AUCUGGAGAGAGACGCUGUAUUACGAUACGGCGUCCACCGAAGGGGAUAUCCGUUAUCGCGCCAUGCAUUGAGCAAUGGCUCCAGCGGAUCAAGCUCUCAGGUACCGAGACAGAU